CGGGAGUUUGGGCUCCUGGAGUGAGGACAGAAGCUGUGAAAGAAGAUGAAGAGCGCAAGGGAAGGCAGAGAUCAGGGGGAGGAUUCAUCAGUAAAAGUGUAAUAACAUUUUCCUGCUGAGAUCUCUCCCGCUGCCAGUUAGAAGGAAUUUGGUAUCUGAAUGCACAAUAACUCUAGUUCCGCCCACAUCCAUUUAUACAGAAAAGUAUGAAAACAAUGCCAAUUGUGUCCCUUUGCCAUGCCAUCCUGCCUUGGGACCAGCAAUUAUGGAGUGAAACCUCUAUAUACUGUAAGCCAAAUAAACCUUUCCUCCUUUAACUUUAGGCUUCGGGUAUUUGGUUCCAGUGAGGAAGGUAACUAAUACACUGGGUUACUUUCAAGCAGCAUAAUAAAUCACACUCUCAAUAGUGUUGUACCAAAAGUUCCCAUUUCCACAGCAUUUUCUCUAAUUUUGUAGAAAAUUUUAAUUUCCUCCUAUAAUUACCUUUCAAAUCCUUUGGUCCUUUCCUAGAAGAUUAUCGUUUUAUGUUUGUAGGGGUUAUCACUUACACAUGGAAAUUAACCAUCUAUCAUAUUAUGGAACAAAUGUUUUCUGCCAGUCACUUACUGUUUUAUAAUAAUUUAGUCAUACAGAUUUAUAAAAUUCGCACAUGGUCAAUUCUGUCAAUUACUUUGGUUUUCUAUCUUGCCAAAAAGAUGAGGUAUAAUAAAAAAUAUGGUGAAUUAAAAAUGUUUUAAAAGUGUAUUAAAGGAUAUAUUGCUACAAAUUCUCAUCAAAACACUUUCCCUUCCUUUGAACAGAUCCAUCCCACUGGUUUUGCUACUUUCUGAAGUAGUUCUGAAUAGGAGUCCUUUUAUGAAUGUCUUUAGUUGUGCUGUUGAGGAUGCCUGUAUGUCCUGAACAUAUAUAUACCUGUUAUGUUCAUUUUGAUUUGGAGAAAGAGCAAAGUCACAUGGUGCCAGAUCCAGUGAAUAAGGUGCAUGAGGGCACACUGUAUGUUUUUACAAACAAGCCUGCCUUUCCCUGUAUUGGCAGCAGCAUUCACUGUAUUUAUCACAGUUCUUAAAGACAUGAAAGAAAACUUCCAGUACUGCAUCAGAAAGUGGCAAGCAUGAUAGAAAAAUUAUAUUCAAAGGAAGAGGGAAUAUUUUGAGGGGGGAUUAAUUCCAAUGUGUCUUUUACUAUAAUAAAAUUUUAAAGCAUUCACUGUAUGUUCUGAUCACACUACAUCUAUACCUGGGAUUUAAACAGUAGCAGUUUAAUGAAUUUUAUCUGAUAGACCUAGUUCAGUAUACGAAGAUAAAAUACUAUCUAGUUAGUUCUUCUGUUUCAGGCUUUCUGGAUUGGGUUACCCUCAAGAGCUCAAAGAAGAGUCAGUUAACUAAAUAGAGAGAUCAGGAUCUAUAUGUAGAAGAGUAAAAUGAAACACUGAGAAAAAUAGCAAAAUAUGAAAUAAAACACUGAGCCUUUACUUGUGCAGGACAUGAGGAAGGGACCACUUUGUGGGAUUGUUUUGAGAAUGUGAUUGGCUAAAUUAGUUCAGAAUCUAUCAGCUCUCUCGAAAGGUCAGGCAGGGAUUUGUAAAAAAAAAAAAAUCACAUGAAAUUGGAAAAUUGUGUGCCAUAUCACAGGACUCAAAUGAAAACAGGAAUACAAAGUUAUUCUAGACCUGGAUGAAAUUGCUAAACUUUUACCACUAUAAGUUCAUCUUCUUUUUCCUUUCCUUGAGGUAUUAAGGUUGGAUGGUGGAGGAGGAGUAAAUCGAAUUUGAAUAUUGUUAAAAG